rnacentral:lncRNA from 1 species
AUGGUGUGGGAAAAGUUUUUACUCUUAUGUUAUGGAUGUAUGAUUUUGUCUCAAGCAACUGAAAAUCAGAGUACUGAACCAAAUUUAGCUUGGGAGUUGAUACAAGGAUUUAUGCAUAUUUGGAAUCAUACAAAUCAAGGAAUAUGUAUUAAUCUCCCCAACUCUGCAUCAGAGGGGUUUAGAUUUAUGAUGAUUUGGUUAAAUUUUUCGGAAAUAUUAACGAGAGAACUGGAUAAUCUUAAAAAGCCAGGAAGAAAUGUUACCUGGGGGAUGGUGGAGUCCCGGUUCCUAGACCAGAAAGAAGGACAACAGUGGGAGGCAAAUGGGACAUGGGUAGAAUACAAGAAUGCCUUUUACCAGCUCCCACGUGACUCUACCUGGAGCGAAUUAUGGAAUCAGACAUGCUAUCGGUCAUUAGACACCAAGCCUUCUGAGACAUUGCAAAAUGUCACUUCUAUCCCUUGCACGGUAGUACCGUGGUGGGAUUCUCCUGCUGAGGGUGGGUUUUUUGAACAUGAGUACAAUUUUCGUUGGGAUGCAGGAUGGUGUAUACAAAUCCCUGAUAACCCAGGAACCGUGCACCAAGUUAACCGAACAAAUUAUGAGUGGGCCUGGUCUUUGAAACAAAUCUUUGACCCUAUAUCUACACUACAAUGGGCUUCCAGGGUCCCCACAGGGAAAAUAGUAGAAUGGGAAGUGGAGAAAUCAGACUGUAAGGACUAUCAGACCACACUACCUAAUGGAGAGAGCAUCUGCUGGAAAGUGAGGAACCGUAGAAGUCUUACCCAGAGUAAAUCAGAGACCUCCUUUCUGAAUUGUUCCCGUGUAUUAGAUUGUACCACAGGAGCAGGUGAGCCUAUAGAAACCUGGUACAUCUCGGAGCUGAGAACUUUUAUCCGGGACAUGUGUACCUGUUGGGAUUAUCCCAACUACGGCUAUCUAAACCAAGACACCCGAUGCAAUGGGUCUUAUGAAAAUUCAGAGACAGCACUAUCCUGUGGCAUUCCCAUUACACACAGCCCUGACCAAAGAAAGGUCUGGAAUUCAAGUAGCGAAGCACAGGAAGUUCCCCAAGGUGACCUGUAUCAGUGUUCACAGGCCAAGUAUCCCGCUCCACGGGGAACAGUAUGGGCAUGUUCAGAUGGGAAAAUGUAUUCCCACUUGAACAUGUAUGAUAUGGCUGGACUCCAGUGUACUAUUGGUUUUCCUACCAUGUGUCCAUCUAAAACAUUCAAUUAUACGCUUUAUCGUAACAACAAGGUGCAGAGAGAGAUCCGCAAUCCAACAGAGGCAAAAGGGUGGAUUCAGGGGAUUCAAGUGCCCGACUAUUACACCUGGGGACAAAACGUUGCUUUAGACUUAGAAUCAUUUUUUGCGUCCAGUGGAGUUAUCCAACAGCACAAGUAUGUCUUGGAGAACUUAACUAAGCAAGUCCACGUGUUAAGCAACUGGACCGGACGCUCACUCAGGGAACCGAAUGUGCAGGCCCUGCAGGCAUCGGAAAUGGCUUUGCAGAACCGAUUAGCCAUAGAUAUGUUGUUGUUGAAAGAGAAUGGAGUGUGUGGGAUGCUAAACCUCACAGAUGGAGAAUGCUGUGUCACUGUCCAUAACGCCACCACCACCAUAGAAGAGGCACGUCAGAAGAUGAAGGAGAUUGCUGAGCAAACGGGAGAACUGUUUCAAGCAAUGCAACCGAAGGACUAG